CUAAAAACCUAGCCCAACAAACAUGAAUUUUACUAAAUUAACUAAACCCCUCUUAACAAACCAUUUUAACAUUCUAGUAAAGGAGAUUGAAAAACUUAUUUGGAGCUAUAAAAACAGUACCGCAAGGGAACGGUGAAAUAUUAUGAAAAACUUCAAGCAGCAAAAAGUAAAGAUUACCUCUUGUACCUUUCGCAUCAUGGUUUAACUAGUCUAACCAAGCAAAACGUAUUUAAGUUUGACUUCCCGAAACUAAGUGAGCUACUUCAGGGCAGCUAGAAGAGCAAACCCGUCUCUGUAGCAAAAGAGUGGGACGACCCUCAAGUAGUGGUGACAGACCUAACGAACUUAGUGAUAGCUGGUUGCUCAAGAAACGGAUUUAAGUCCAACCUGAAAGUUUUAUAACCUAAGUUCAUCAAAACAAUCACCUAGCUUUCAGCGUAAUUCAAAUAAGGUACAGCCUAUUUGAAACAGGAUACAACCUAGCCUAGUGGAUAAGAUCAGCCUAAUAUACAAUCAAGUGGGCCUAAAAGCAGCCACCUUUAAUACAGCGUCAAAGCUAAAUUGUAACCGAGCCCAAUUACUUAACCCAUAUCUUAAUCCCCUGCCAAUACUGAGUAAUUCUAUAAUAUUAUAGAAAUUUUUAUGUUAAAACUAGUAACAAGAAGAAGAUUCUUCUCUUAAAUGUACGUAUAAAUCAGAAAAGACAAGCUACUGAUGCUUAACACCUCUGAGCAUAAAGUGGUAACUAACCAA
rnacentral:rRNA from 1 species